GUGAUAUCUUCUCUACGGACAAAAAAUUGUUCCUCACCUACAUUGACAAGUUCUCCCAAUUUGCUGUUGUAUAGCCCAUCUAACUUAAGACCAGAGCGAUCUACUGUAAAAAUGUACCAGCAUUGAACUUACAGACAAUCUCUGCUAUGCUAGUCAACAAUUUUGGCAUUAGUAUUUCAAAUUCGCCACCCUUACAUAGUGUAUCAAAUAACUAAGUAGAAUGUCAUAGCACUUUGCUGGAACUGGUCGGGCGUUUAACGAUCGAUAAGAGUAUAAGAGACACUGUAGAAGUCAUUAUUCCACUAAGUCAAUCCACUCCCGUAUCAACAGGAGACCGGUUGAUAUUUUUCAGUGCCUUCUGGAGGAGAUAAUACUGAAUAAGAUCUGAGACGCCCAAGGCCAGAGAAAAUACCUUUCGACAAAACAGAGUUUUUGAGAGAGCUGUACAGGUGAAGACCACGGUACUCAUUAAAGGGAGAGUGAUUCACAUGGAUAACCUAAAUUGACUCCGUCAGCGCGAUUUUUUUUUAAAUUUUUUUUUCUUAAAGAUAUUCAAUGUAAUUAAAACUUUAAAGUUCGCAAAAUUCAGUAUGUAACUGCUUAAAAGUAAUUUCCUACUUAUGACAUUUCAACUUACUAUUACAAGGAAUGAUAGUAUUCGAUACAAAUAGCCGUGAUGACAACAGACGAUUCAAUUGCCAGCGGUAGGAAUCGAUAUUCACUCGUAAAGUAAGAUGGAAGUAAGAGAUUGCCCAAAAACAAACAAAAUUUUCCAGUUGAUUACGAACACAAUUACAUUGGCUUUAAUUUCCAGUUGAAUAGGGACAACGUUAAAUCAGAGAGAUUCGAGAAGAAUUUAUUUUGAAAGCCAGUAAAAGGCGAAAAAUAUGAAGGAUCACAUUUGCAGGCAUAUUGCAGAAUUGGAACAAAGGAAUAAAUACAGAUGAAAAAUUUAUAAACUAAAAUAUUAUAUAUAAUAGAUUUUUAGCAUUAUUUAGUAAGUUUGUGCAAAUGUAAAAAAUAUAAAUGAAUUGGGCAGUG